AACGUAUGAGGCCACCGAACGUUGUGGCGGGGUGUUGGCCUCUCGGUGGUAUUUAAAGCAUAAGAUAGAUUGGGAGUGACAGGUGAGGCCCUCUCUAUGCGACAAUGCGAGACGGCUAGCUAUGAUUUGGCCCGAGGGGCGUAUUCCUCCGAGUAUGAGGAGAGGGGUGUUGAUCUCGCGGGACCACUAGCCUAUGGAUUAA
rnacentral:lncRNA from 1 species